rnacentral:misc_RNA from 1 species
AUGGCUUCCAUGUGUCGUCUCCUGGUCGAAGAAUCAGCCAUGAACCGGGGUUGGACCGGCUGACUCGGUCAGAACCCGGUGAUGCAACAAAGGGUGUGACCAUCGAAGCGGCGGCAACGGGUGAACCGGAAAGGUCGUGGACGGUGAUUGACCAACCCUUCCGCUCUUUUCCUGGCCGCUCCCUUUCGCUUCCGAAUGAGCUAAG